rnacentral:lncRNA from 1 species
GACAAGUGCAGACCAUUCUUCAAAGCUUUGAAGAAAGGACAAAGAAACAAGUGGGAUGAGGAAUGCGGAGUAGCUUUUCAGAAUCUAAAGACUUACCUCACUUCACCUUCGCUAAACCUUGCCAACCUAGAGACAUGUGGCAGUUGCUCGUAGAUGGAGCGUCGAACCAAAAAGGACCUGGAGCAGGUGUCGUCAUCAUC